rnacentral:rRNA from 1 species
UACGUAGGGUGCAAGCGUUAAUCGGAAUUACUGGGCGUAAAGCGUGCGCAGGCGGUUAUGCAAGACAGAUGUGAAAUCCCCGGGCUCAACCUGGGAACUGCAUUUGUGACUGCAUGACUAGAGUACGGCAGAGGGGGAUGGAAUUCCGCGUGUAGCAGUGAAUGCGUAGAUAUGCGGAGGAACACCGAUGGCGAAGGCAAUCCCCUGGGCCUGUACUGACGCUCAUGCACGAAAGCGUGGGGAGCAAACAGG